rnacentral:rRNA from 1 species
UCAGAACGAACGCUGGCGGCAGGCUUAACACAUGCAAGUCGAACGCGUGUAGCAAUACACGAGUGGCGCACGGGUGAGUAACACGUGGAUUAUCUGCCUCUUGGUUCGGAAUAACCCCGGGAAACUGGGGCUAAUACCGAAUGGUUCCUACGGGAUAAAGAUUUAUCGCCAAGAGAUGAGUCCGCGUCCGAUUAGCUAGUUGGUGGGGUAAUGGCCUACCAAGGCGACGAUCGGUAGCUGGUCUGAGAGGACGAUCAGCCACACUGGGACUGAGACACGGCCCAGACUCCUACGGGAGGCAGCAGUGGGGAAUAUUGGACAAUGGGGGCAACCCUGAUCCAGCCAUGCCGCGUGAGUGAUGAAGGCCUUCGGGUUGUAAAGCUCUUUUGGCGGGGACGAUGAUGACGGUACCCGCAGAAUAAGCCCCGGCUAACUUCGUGCCAGCAGCCGCGGUAAGACGAAGGGGGCUAGCGUUGUUCGGAAUUACUGGGCGUAAAGCGCGUGUAGGCGGUUGUUCAAGUCGGGUGUGAAAGCCUUGAGCUCAACUCAAGAAAUGCACUCGAUACUGGAUGACUUGAGGACCGGAGAGGAUAGUGGAAUUCCCAGUGUAGUGGUGAAAUACGUAGAGAUUGGGAAGAACACCAGUGGCGAAGGCGGCUAUCUGGACGGUUCUGAC